ACAAUGAUGACUUAAAUUUUUGCUGUUUACCCAGCUGAGGGUAUCUUUGAAGAAACAAUUUUAAGACUGAGAU
ensembl:snoRNA